AAGGACGCGGCAAGCUGCGAUAAUCCCCGGCGAGGAGCACACAUCCUUCGACCCGGGGGUCUCCGAAUGGGCGAACCCAUCCACAGCAGUGUGGAUAUCCCCACCCCGAACACAUAGGGGUGGGGAGGACAACCCGGGGAACUGAAACAUCUAAGUACCCGGAGGAGAGGAAAUCAAUCUCGAGACUCCCCGAGUAGCGGC
rnacentral:rRNA from 1 species